rnacentral:lncRNA from 1 species
ACAAACCAAAUCCUCCCUAAUAUAUUUCUAAUAAUUAUAAAUAAUUUACACAUCGAAUUAUAAGCUCUUAAGCCCUUUGUUAGAUCUUCAUACCUUUAACCCAAUUAACCAUCAAAAUUCCAUGUAAGACACAACAUUCCAUAUUUAACAAAAUAAAAUUCUAAAAAUUAUGAAAGUUAGUGGAAAACAUUUUACCAUAGGGGAGAGCUAAUUUAUGGCUAAAUUGAGCAAUACCGCUGGAUCCUAGUUAAAGGCUUUUCCUUCAACUCUCAAAAUAAAUCUGCAAAAAUAAUGAUAUUGAUUUUUUUUUCCGAAUCUUUUGAAUAAGAGGACUUCAAAUUUAUAGAUCAUGCUGCCAGACACUUGCCAAAGUGAACCAAACCAUAUAGACCUACACCUAGAUAUUUUCCCCAAAUCCAUCUCGAAACCAUAUUAAUCCAUUAAUUAAUAUCACAAUAGAACUGAAAAUUAUCUCAAUAAUGUCUUUGGCUAGAAGUCCAGGUCUUGAAUCUGAUCUCUACACCAUCAAUGCGGUAGUUUCUUCGCUCUACAUACAUAAAACCUAUGUAUAUUAGAGUUAGAUUAGGCAGUAAAGCCACAACCAGAGAGGGAGAAAUAUGGAAAGGAUAUUUUGACCAAUUACAUGCACAAAGUGGUAGGAAGAUGAGAGACCGGAUAAAGUUUUAGGACAGGUGAGAGAGAGAGAGAGGGAGAGAGAGAGAGCACAAGAGGGUGGCUGCCGGCGGGAGGUGAUGGGUGUGCUGUGCAAAUGUGGAAGAAGGAAGCCUAGCUGAAGGGCCUCUUUCAUGGACCUAAGGUGGCCCAAGGCCCUACUCUACCACUGCUAAAGCAGUAAGGAAGCAGUAAGGGGAACAUAUAAACAGAGAAAUUUUUUGUGCACCACCUGCGGUAUAAAAAAUCUGACAUAGAGCGCACCGUUUUAUCUGAUUGGUCCACAUAGCCACU